rnacentral:rRNA from 1 species
UGCAGUCGAACGCGCAGCGAGAGGUGCUUGCACCUUUCAAGCGAGUGGCGAACGGGUGAGUAACACGUGGAUAACCUGCCUCAAGGCUGGGGAUAACAUUUGGAAACAGAUGCUAAUACCGAAUAAAACUUAGUAUCGCAUGAUACAAAGUUGAAAGGCGCUACGGCGUCACCUAGAGAUGGGUCCGCGGUGCAUUAGUUAGUUGGUGGGGUAAAGGCCUACCAAGACAAUGAUGCAUAGCCGAGUUGAGAGACUGAUCGGCCACAUUGGGACUGAGACACGGCCCAAACUCCUACGGGAGGCUGCAGUAGGGAAUCUUCCACAAUGGGCGAAAGCCUGAUGGAGCAACGCCGCGUGUGUGAUGAAGGCUUUAGGGUCGUAAAGCACUGUUGUAUGGGAAGAAAUGCUAGAAUAGGGAAUGAUUUUAGUUCGACGGUACCAUACCAGAAAGGGACGGCUAAAUAC